rnacentral:lncRNA from 1 species
ACUCUGGCUGGUUAAGCUCUGGUUAACUAGUUUCUCCUGAGGGCAGACCCUGUUAAGAAGAACAGACGGCUCUGCUGUAAUUCAAAAUAGUUUCUUUUCCCCUCCCUCUGCUGGAAGCUGAAGGGGAUUUUCUCUGAUGUUUAUUGUAGGAACCUGGUGGAGCUCCUGGAGGAUGAAGGAUUGACACCAGAGCUAAUGAGUACAGCAGACUACACCCAUGCUCCAGAUAAUCAGCAGCAAUUUAUCCAAAUCAGAAAAAAAAAAAUCAUGUUUGGGAAGAUGGAAGAACACAUCACUCUGGAAACCAAAGGGUGGAAGCAGAAGCAGCCCCACUUCCCAAACUCCCAACGACUCACUGCAGAAUUUUGUCCUUCCUGUCCCUGUUCUUCUUGGUUCUGCAAGGUUGGAGGUCCUGGGUCCUACUCUUGCCAGGGGCCACAGAAAUGGUCCCAUUGGGAAUAAGCUAUGGAUGCCACCAGAGAAAUUUUGACUCUUUGUGUUCAGAGACCAGCAGGCAAGAGGAAGAGUCAACAUCUUGACAAGGUCAUUGACUCUGAUCGUCAAGACAAGACUUUUGGAAACACUUGGAGAGUUUCAAAAGCUCAUAGCAAGGUCUCGCCCCCCAACUAUCAAUCAUUGAGGAGCUUGGGUGGAGAGCUGCUCAUGAGUGUGUUAAAUGAUGAUUUUUUGGGUGCUGUAUCUGGCGAUGUCUUCUCUGAACUUUCUCAUGGUCAUGGUAUCAUCAUACAAUUAAAGUUCCAGCUCAGCAUGAUGGACACUCCACUCCAGGCAGCUGUGGCCAAGAAGAGGAGCCUUCUUCUCUCUCCUGCUCCUACUCAAGAGGCAGGCAGCUUAACAGAGAGAUCAGAGACAGCAGCUGAAUGAGAGCCUUGGUGAGAUGACUGUCACCACAUGGUGACUGUGGGUGACCCACUGCUGAUAUUUCUGAGGAGCAACAUCAUAGCCUUCCAAGUUCGGGGAAAAGACUUUACUAAAACAGUCAAGCUGAGUCACCAAACAAAUAAAUAAGCCAACAACUACAGCAACCUUGACAAGCCCCAGAAAAGGACAGUGGAAUGAGCAUUCAGAGUUGCUAAAUCAUAUCAUCCAAAAUGUCUAGUUUUCAACAAAACGUUAUGAGAAAUGAAAAAUAAAAAGUGUGAGCCAUCAAAGGGAAAAAAGCAGGCAACAGAAAUUGUGUGCAAGAAAAACCAAGACGUUAGAUUUAAAAAGUGUUCAACAAAGUGUUCAAAGUAGCUGUUAUGAAUAUCUUCAAAGAACCUAUGAAACUAUGCUUAAAGAAAUUAAAAAAAGAUAUGAUUGCAAUCUGUCAAGUAAAGAAUAUUACCGAAGAAAUAGAAAUUAUAAAAAAGAAUAAAAUACUGCUGAUAGGUGUGAGUUUUAAUUA